rnacentral:rRNA from 1 species
GCUUAACGCGAAGAACCUUACCAGGGCUUGACAUGCCCCUCGCGACUUCCCGAAAAGGAAGUCUUCAGUUCGGCUGGAGGGAGCACAGGUGCUGCAUGGCUGUCGUCAGCUCGUGUCGUGAGAUGUUGGGUUAAGUCCCGCAACGAGCGCAACCCUCGUCCUCUGUUGCUAACAGGUUAGGCUGAGCACUCUGAGGAAACUGCCGGUGAUAAGCCGGAGGAAGGUGGGGAUGACGUCAAGUCCUCAUGGCCCUUACGCCCUGGGCUACACACGUGUUACAAUGGCGGUGACAAUGAGUUGCGAUCGCGCAAGCGCUAGCUAACCUCUAAAAACCGCCUCAGUUCGGAUUGUACUCUGCAACUCGAGUACAUGAAGUUGGAAUCGCUAGUAAUCGUAGAUCAGCAUGCUACGGUGAAUACGUUCCCGGGUCUUGUACACACCG